UCAUUUGAGUAAAUUAAAGAGAAUCUGCGGUUUGCAGUAGGAAAUGGAAGUCGGAUCUUUGACGUAGCAGCGGUGGAGCUUCCACAUCGGAUAGGCUAAUUGCACCAAAUGACCGGAAUAUCUCUUCCGUUGAAAAUGGAGGGACCUGAAGAUAGCCAAAAGUUAGUGGAAUGAUGAAAUUGGAAAAUAUCUUUUGAUACAUGAGAACAGGGAAAGCUGUUAAAGAGUAGAUUUAUGCUUACAUUGUUCUCUGACAUUAUGCUCAAGGAUCUAAUUGUGUGAAUAAUCCUAUCAAAUAUAUUUGUCUUCUCUGCUUCAAAAGAUCUCCACUGAAGAAGUGCCUUGUACACAACACAGGCAGCAACAGGGAUAAAGCUUACCUUGAAUCGGGUACCAAUGGAAGAGAACUUGGAUUGCUUUGAUGUCUCUUCAGGUAAUGGAGGGAAAAGAUUAGCAACAAAAGGGCACUUGGAAGCAUUUAAUAAGGCUUGAUGUUCUGCUACAACAUAAUCCUUAUUUUUAUCAAGAAAUUGGUCAGCUUGGAAUAUGAGAGGCUACACAAUGUUACAAGUAGGAAAACCACAUACCAGGCCUCAUCAAGAAGGGCUAUUAUACCCCCAGGUUUCUGCAAGCAAGGAAAUAAGGUCAAUUCUUACGGUAUACUGUGAACAUGAUGCAUUAGCUUGAUAUUGCUUUAACCAAAUACCUUUUCAAUCAGAUCCAGAACAUCCUGGUUAUCUACAAACUCGACAUAACUCCAAUUUAUUUCCUCCCUUGUAUAUUCUUCUUGCUCCAUCUUAAAUACAUGCUGUGGAUAAAGAUCCAUGUGAGCAUUAGAACAGUUAUGUGUGCUUUAAAGUUAUGCACUGAAUUUCAUCUCUACCUGGUUAAAAUGCUGUUGCAACUUCUCAUUUGUUAGGUUGAUGCAUAGCUGCUCAAAACUACCAAAUGCUGAAUAUUAGAUAAUUCCGUUAAAAUUUUAAAUUCAUUGGAAAUAUGUAUGGUUUCCUGCAGUACCUGUUAAUCUUGAAGCUUUCAAAGCCAUAAAUAUCAAGGACUCCAAUUAUACUUGUCGCACUGGGAUCUUGACCAAUUGAACUGUUAAUCUUAUCCACAAUCCUGCAAAUAGUCAAGGAUUCCUCAAGGUCUAUUGUUAACUUAGAUAACAAUUGGUUUCAAAGAUGUUAUUCAAACCGAACCAAUUUUUGAGUACUGUCCUCUAGAUGGCCUUGUGACUUAUUGGACCGAAUUAUGUUGCCAAGGCAACAUCAACUCUGCUCAAAAUGUUGCCGAGGUGCAUUAUUAUGUAAUACUUACAGAGAUUGCUACAUGCUGUUACUAAAUAUAUACAUGUCAAAUUUGUUGAGUGAGUUUGAUUUUCUUACCAAUCAAACAGCCUGGAGUAAACAGUCUUAGCUAAGGCAUCACGGCUCAAGGCAGCUGAAUCUGGGUCCAGAGGUUUUGUAAUGUUUCCAUCAGGAGUCACUAUGACACGCUUGCAAAUUUGAAGAUGGUAGCGUGCUUUCUCAUCCUUGAGUUUGGAAGAAUCAACUUCUUUCCCUUUAAUGAAGUCAAUAUUUCCAAGAUGGAGGAUUGCUGCUACUACACGGAAUAUGGCAUCCUACAAAAGGGAAACCAACCUCCAGUUAUGUCAAUUAUCUAUUUGUCUAAAGGAAAUCUAUAAAUUAAUUUGCUUACAGAUGCGAAAAAUGAGAACCUGCUCGUCCUGGCUGAUUCCUAAAAUAUCCAUUGCAUUUCUGGUUUCUAAAUACUCUCUGGCAUCGUCGACAUUUGCCACUUUAUAACAGUUGGAUUGGUUUAAAUAGUGGAAUGUUCUUGGAUCCCCUAACUUGAAUUUUUUAGCAUCCUGAUAGGGAACAUCAGUCAGCUAGGUUUCCCUUGAGUCCAUGACUAUUGUGUAUAACUUUGUUGAAGCAGAAGAAAAAUAUAUGUAAUCACCUCCGGCGGUGCUGCACAAAGCAUAUAAAAACAAUGAUAGUUUCUUUCUGGGUCAGAAACCUGGCAAACACGCGACCUUUCAAGAAGUUCUUCCUUCGGUGCCUGAUCUGCCCCCCAUGAAUGCAAGAUCAUACCUGAAACAAGUGUCUGCCACAGCAAAAAGAUGGGGACUUAGCUCUCCAAAAGCAGCUCCUUUAUACUGCUCCAUCAUGUGAAUGUCAUACAAAUGCGGCAGUCUUUGGAAUGGAUUCACCGCUAUCAGAAUGUUCCCAGUGUAAGCCAAUUUGGUCAUGUCGUCAACUCCUGCAGGUGGUGCUUCUGUGUCCUUUGGAUAUAUGCUGGAAAUAUCUGCGACUAUCUGGAGUUGAGGGAGAACCUGAUUACAAGCCUUAUAAAGUAGAUGGUUCGCAGUCAGUAUGAUAUUGAAAUCUGAAGUGGCAAAUGAAUUCCUGAAGACUAGAUUGCAUGAAGGUGCAUAAUAGGAAGUGGCAGCAGCUUACUCUUUUCCCAUUUGUGGUGAUGACGAUUGCAUCUUUCCCUUUGAUUUCUAUCACUUCACCAUCGAUCCAUGCAUCCUCAGGAUCUUCUGCCCAAACAUGUGAUCCAACAAUAAUGUUUACUGGAGUUCCCUGAACCAUCAAAUAAAAAGAAGAAAAAUGAUCCAAUAUUUUAGCUCGUAAAUAGAACCGCAAGUCAGUAAGAAAAUGAAAAGCAGAACUUGAUCAUUGGGAGCUCACCAUAUUGAAAAUCUAUAUGAUCAUCAAGAUUCAGAAUAAGAAUGUUGAGAAGGACAUGAAUGCUUUGUGGGAAAGAGAGAGGAAGAAGUACUAGGGAGAAUGUUAGUAUGCUCUAAGGAUUGUAUAAUGCUGGAUUGCAGAACAUUAAAGCAGAAAAGAAUAAUGAAAAGAAAUUCAAAAGUAGAGGAAAGCGCAGGCGGUGGUAACUUGGGAGUAAAAAGCACCAGCCACCCCCCUCACCUCCCGCCCCCACUCAACGUCCACUUUUUGCUCGUUCCACCUAGGCUGCUGACUUGGCACAAUAAAAGCCCCAACAUAAAAUUAAAAAAAAAAAAAAAACACUAUUUCAUCAUCAUCAUGAUCCCGGUUAGGUGGGUCCAUUGCUUAAGCUAUACGCAGAAAUCCCGUAUAUCCAUCCACCUGAUGUCAGAUACUCAUUUGCAUCCAUUACAUUGCCAUGUUCAGGUCUCUUACUGCUUCAUUGGUAUUCGACUGUACUAGCUUCAUUUGUAUUAGGUUGUAUUAGUUUAUCACUAGACUAAAGUCUUCACUGAAAAUUUACUUGACUGUAUUAGGUUUACUUU